ensembl:lncRNA
UGAAGUGAUGGAAUGAAGUGCUAUAUGCACAGGAGGGCUUUUUAAACCUCUCUGUAAAUCAUUCAUAGAAAGGUGGAGAUAAAUUAAACAUGAAACAUACACUGGUCUCAGCUACAGGCCAACAUGCAUGGUGCUCGGAUGGCAAGUAUAAUGACUCUUCAUGUACUGUAUGAAGAAUAGGGUCAUUAGGCUGCGUAGUACUGCUCUAAGAUUUUAACAUAACAUCACUGAAUGGAAAAUGAAAAGGUGUCAAGGGCCCAUUUCUAACCAGGUUACUAAACAUUACAGUGAAGGAAAGGAGGGAGGAAUGUGUUGGUGGAUGUGAUGGGAGCUGAGGACUCUUAGCUGAGUUAACAAGAAUGUAAAGCCAGCCACCAAACGUCCCUGGAGAACAGGAGGUGAAAGCCCAGUGAACCACACAAGGCGAACCCAGCCAGACCCAGCCAGACCAAGCCAGACCCAGCCAGACCAAGCCAGACCCAGCCAAACAGAGCCAGACCAAGCCAGACCAAGCCAAGCCAGACCAAACCAAGCCAGACCCAACCAGACCAAGCAAUGGAAAAAAAUUAAGAGGUCAUACAGUAACUGUUACAGAGGAACACCAACACAGACAUCAGGCAGCUACAGGGGCAGGUAGAGACUAGCCAUCACAUGGCUACAGGGGCAGGUAGAGACCAGCCAUGACAUGGCUACAGGGGCAGGUAGAGACUAGCCAUCACAUGGCUACAGGGGCAGGUAGAGACUAGCCAUCACAUGGCUACAGGGGCAGGUAGAGACUAGCCAUCACAUGGCUACAGGG